UACGUAGGGGGCAAGCGUUGUCCGGAUUUAUUGGGCGUAAAGAGCUCGUAGGCGGUCUGUCGCGUCGGCUGUGAAAUCCCGAGGCUCAACCUCGGGUCUGCAGUCGAUACGGGCAAACUUGAGUGUUGCAGGGGAGACUGGAAUUCCUGGUGUAGCGGUGAAAUGCGCAGAUAUCAGGAGGAACACCGGUGGCGAAGGCGGGUCUCUGGGCCGAUACUGACGCUGGAGGAGCGAAAGCGUGGGGAGCGAACAGG
rnacentral:rRNA from 1 species